UACGUAGGGGGCGAGCGUUGUCCGGAUUUAUUGGGCGUAAAGAGCUCGUAGGCGGUUUGGUAAGUCGGGUGUGAAAUCUCCAGGCUCAACCUGGAGAGGUCACCCGAGACUGCCAUGACUAGAGUCCGGUAGGGGAGUGUGGAAUUCCUGGUGGAGCGGUGAAAUGCGUAGAUAUCGAGAGGAACACCUGCGGCGAAGGCGGGUUGCUGGGCCGACACUGACGCUGAUGCGCGAAAGCGUGGGGAGCGAACAGG
rnacentral:rRNA from 1 species